rnacentral:rRNA from 1 species
AGAGUUUGAUCAUGGCUCAGGAUGAACGCUGGCGGCGUGCCUAACACAUGCAAGUCGAGCGAAGUUACUUCGGGAAGCCUUCGGGUGGAAUGGAUUUAACUUAGCGGCGGACGGGUGAGUAACGCGUGGGCAACCUACCCUGUACAGGGGAAUAACAAUGGGAAACCAUUGCUAAUACCCCAUAAUACCUUUUGGGGGCAUCCCUUAAAGGUCAAAGAAUUUCGGUAUAGGAUGGGCCCGCGUCGCAUUAGCUAGUUGGUAAGGUAAUGGCUUGCCAAGGCGACGAUGCGUAGCCGGCCUGAGAGGGUGAACGGCCACACUGGAACUGAGACACGGUCCAGACUCCUACGGGAGGCAGCAGUGGGGAAUAUUGCACAAUGGGGGAAAAACCCCCUGAUGCAGCAACGCCGCGUGAGCGAUGAAGGCUUUCGGGUCGUAAAGCUCUGUCCUAAGGGAAGAUAAUGACGGUACCUUAGGAGGAAGCCCCGGCUAACUACGUGCCAGCCGCCGC